rnacentral:rRNA from 1 species
UACGGGGGGGGCAAGCGUUGUUCGGAAUUACUGGGCGUAAAGGGUUCGUAGGUGGCUUGUUAAGUCAGACGUGAAAUCCCUCGGCUCAACCGGGGAACUGCGUCUGAGACUGAUGAGCUCGAGUGCAGGAGAGGAACGCGGAAUUCCAGGUGUAGCGGUGAAAUGCGUAGAUAUCAGGAGGAACACCGAUGGCGAAGGCAGCUUCCUGGCCCAAUUCUGACGCUGAGGUGCGAAAGCGUGGGUAGCGAACGGG